rnacentral:rRNA from 1 species
UACAGAGGGUGCGAGCGUUAAUCGGAAUUACUGGGCGUAAAGCGCACGUAGACGGCUUUGCAAGUCGGUUGUGAAAUCCCCGGGCUCAACCUGGGAACUGCAUCCGAGACUGCAUUGCUAGAGUAUGGGAGAGGAAAGCGGAAUUUCUGGUGUAGCAGUGAAAUGCGUAGAUAUCAGAAGGAACAUCAGUGGCGAAGGCGGCUUUCUGGACCAAUACUGACGAUCAGGUGCGAAAGCGUGGGGAGCAAACAGG